GGGAUAACACCUGGAAACAGGUGCUAAUACCGCAUAACAGAAGGGGACGCAUGUUUCUUUCUUGAAAACUCCGGUGGUACGGGAUGGACCCGCGUCUGAUUAGCUGGUUGGCGGGGUAACGGCCCACCAAGGCGACGAUCAGUAGCCGGCCUGAGAGGGCGGACGGCCACAUUGGGACUGAGACACGGCCCAAACUCCUACGGGAGGCAGCAGUGGGGAAUAUUGCACAAUGGGGGAAACCCUGAUGCAGCGACGCCGCGUGAGUGAAGAAGCGUUUCGGCGCGUAAAGCUCUGUCAGCGGGGAAGAAACACGGUUCGCGAGAGCCGCGGACGGUACCCGACCAAGAAGCCCCGGCUAACUACGUGCCAGCAGCCGCGGUAAUACGUAGGGGGCAAGCGUUAUCCGGAUUCACUGGGUGUAAAGGGAGCGUAGACGGCGAGACAAGUCUGGAGUGAAAGGCCGGGGCCCAACCCCGGGACUGCUCUGGAAACUGCCUGGCUGGAGUACAGGAGAGGUAAGUGGAAUUCCUAGUGUAGCGGUGAAAUGCGUAGAUAUUAGGAGGAACACCAGUGGCGAAGGCGGCUUACUGGACUGUAACUGACGUUGAGGCUCGAAAGCGUGGGGAGCAAACAGGAUUAGAUACCCUGGUAGUCCACGCCGUAAACGAUGAUCACUAGGUGUCGGGGGUUAGAAGGCCCCCGGUGCCGCAG
rnacentral:rRNA from 1 species